rnacentral:rRNA from 1 species
GACGGAGGAUGCAAGCGUUAUCCAGAAUGAUUGGGCGUAAAGCGUCCGCAGGUGGCAGUUCAAGUCUGCUGUCAAAGACCGGGGGCUUAACUUCGGAAAGGCAGUGGAAACUGAACAGCUAGAGUAUGGUAGGGGCAGAGGGAAUUCCUGGUGUAGCGGUGAAAUGCGUAGAGAUCAGGAAGAACAUCGGUGGCGAAGGCGCUCUGCUGGACCAUAACUGACACUCAGGGACGAAAGCUAGGGGAGCGAAUGGG